rnacentral:rRNA from 1 species
AGAGUUUGAUCCUGGCUCAGAAUGAACGUUGGCGGCGUGGAUUAGGCAUGCAAGUCGAACGGGCCUGGUAGCAAUAUCAGGUCAGUGGCGCAAGGGUGAGUAAGGCGACGGCAACCAACCCCAUGGUUGGGCAUAGCCGCGGGAAACUGCGGGUAAUUCCCAGCGAUGUUCGUGUCGGGCAUCCGGUGCGAACCAAAGUUCUGGCGCCGUGGGACGGGCCGUCGUGGUAUUAGGUUGUUGGCGGGGUAAUGGCCCACCAAGCCUUUGAUGCCUACCGGGCGUGCGAGCGUGGCCCGGCACAUUGGGACUGAGACACUGCCCAGACUCCUACGGGAGGCUGCAGUCGAGAAUCUUCGGCAAUGGGCGCAAGCCUGACCGAGCGACGCCGCGUGGAGGAUGAAGGCCUUCGGGUUGUAAACUCCUGUCGAGGGGGAGGAAGGCGCAAGCUUGACCUAUCCCUGGAGGAAGCACGGGCUAAGUUCGUGCCAGCAGCCGCGGUAAGACGAACCGUGCGAACGUUAUUCGGAAUCACUGGGCUUAAAGCGCGUGUAGGCGGAUGGGGACGUCGGUUGCUGAAAUCCCCCGGCUCAACCGGGGAACGGGCGCCGAAACGCCCCGUCUGGAGGGACGUAGGGGGACCUGGAACUUCCGGUGGAGCGGUGAAAUGCGUUGAGAUCGGAAGGAACGCCCGUGGCGAAAGCGAGGUCCUGGACGUUUUCUGACGCUGAGACGCGAAAGCUAGGGUAGCGAACGGGAUUAGAUACCCUAGUAGUCC